rnacentral:rRNA from 1 species
AUUGAACGCUGGCGGCAGGCCUAACACAUGCAAGUCGAACGAGUGGCGGACGGGUGAGUAAUGUCUGGGAAACUGCCUGAUGGAGGGGGAUAACUACUGGAAACGGUAGCUAAUACCGCAUACCAGCGGAUGUGCCCAGAUUGGAUUAGCUAGUAGGUGGGGUAACGGCUCACCUAGGCGACGAUCACUAGCGGGUCUGAGAGGAUGAAAAGCCACACUGGAACUGAGACACGGUCCAGACGCCUACGGGAGGCAGCAGUGGGGAAUAUUGCACAAUGGGCGCAAGCCUGAUGCAGCCAUGCCGCGUGUAUGAAGAAGGCCUUCGGGUUGUAAAGUUCUGUCAGCGGGGAGGCGUUACCCGCACAAGAAGCACCGGCUAACUCCGUGCCAGCCGCCGCGGUAAUUC